GAUGAACGCUGACAGAAUGCUUAACACAUGCAAGUCUACUUGAACUUCGGUUUGGGUGGCGGACGGGUGAGUAACGCGUAAAGAACUUGCCUCACAGUUAGGGACAACAUUUGGAAACGAAUGCUAAUACCUGAUAUUAUGAUCUUAGGGCAUCCUCAAAUUAUGAAAGCUAUAUGCGCUGUGAGAGAGCUUUGCGUCCCAUUAGCUAGUUGGAGAGGUAACGGCUCACCAAGGCGAUGAUGGGUAGCCGGCCUGAGAGGGUGAACGGCCACAAGGGGACUGAGACACGGCCCUUACUCAUACGGGAGGCAGCAGUGGGGAAUAUUGGACAAAGGACCAAAAGUCUGAUCCAGCAAUUCUGUGUGCACGAUGACGUUUUUCGGAAUGUAAAGUGCUUUCAGUUGGGAAGAAAAAAAUGACGGUACCAACAGAAGAAGUGACGGCUAAAUACGUG
rnacentral:rRNA from 1 species